rnacentral:rRNA from 1 species
UACGUAGGGGGCUAGCGUUGUCCGGAUUUAUUGGGCGUAAAGAGCGUGUAGGCGGCCAGGUAGGUCUGCUGUGAAAACUCGAGGCUUAACCUCGAGACGUCGGCGGAAACCAUCUGGCUAGAGUCCGGAAGAGGAGAGUGGAAUUCCGGGUGUAGCGGUGGAAUGCGUAGAGAUCCGGAAGAACACCGAUGGCGAAGGCGGCCUGCUGGGCAGUAGCUGACACUGAGGCGCGACAGCGUGGGGAGCAAACAGG